GACGAACGCUGGCGGCGUGCUUAACACAUGCAAGUCGAACGGAAAGGCCCUGCUUUUGUGGGGUGCUCGAGUGGCGAACGGGUGAGUAACACGUGAGUAACCUGCCCUUGACUUUGGGAUAACUUCAGGAAACUGGGGCUAAUACCGGAUAGGAGCUCCUGCUGCAUGGUGGGGGUUGGAAAGUUUCGGCGGUUGGGGAUGGACUCGCGGCUUAUCAGCUUGUUGGUGGGGUAGUGGCUUACCAAGGCUUUGACGGGUAGCCGGCCUGAGAGGGUGACCGGCCACAUGGGGACUGAGAUACGGCCCAGACUCCGACGGGAGGCAGCAGUGGGGAAUAUUGCACAAUGGGCGGAAGCCUGAUGCAGCAACGCCGCGUGCGGGAUGACGGCCUUCGGGUGGUAAACCGCUUUCGCCUGUGACGAAGCGUGAGUGACGGUAAUGGGUAAAGAAGCACCGGCUAACUACGU
rnacentral:rRNA from 1 species